UACGAAGGGGGCUAGCGUUGCUCGGAAUCACUGGGCGUAAAGCGCACGUAGGCGGAUUGUUAAGUCAGGGGUGAAAUCCCGGAGCUCAACUCCGGAACUGCCUCUGAUACUGAAGGUCUUGAGUUCGGGAGAGGUGAGUGGAACUGCGAGUGUAGAGGUGAAAUUCGUAGAUAUUCGCAAGAACACCAGUGGCGAAGGCGGCUCACUGGCCCGAUACUGACGCUGAGGUGCGAAAGCGUGGGGAGCAAACAGG
rnacentral:rRNA from 1 species